GACGAACGCUGGCGGCGUGCUUAACACAUGCAAGUCGAACGGAAAGGCCCCUAUGGGGGUACUCGAGUGGCGACCGGGUGAGUAACACGUGAGUAACCAGCCCUUGACUUCGGGAUAACUUCAGGAAACUGGGGCUAAUACCGGAUAGGAAUCCUUGCUGCAUGGGGGGGGUUGGAAAGCUUCGGCGGUUUUGGAUGGACUCGCGGCUUAUCAGCUUGUUGGUGGGGUAGUGGCUUACCAAGACUUUGACGGGUAGCAGGCCUGAGAGGGCGACCGGCCACAUUGAGACCGAGAUGCGGCACAGACUCCGACGGGAGGCAGCAGUGGGGAAUAUUGCACAAUGGGCGGCAGCCUGAUGCAGCAAGGCCUCGUGCGGGAUGACGGUCUUCUUGUUGUAAACCGCUUUCAGCAGGAGCGAAGCUUGUGGUGACGGUACCUACAGAAGAAGCACCGGCUAACUACGUG
rnacentral:rRNA from 1 species